AGAAUGCAGAUGAAGAGACGAGGAGGAUGCAGAUGGAAAGACGAGGAGGAUGCAGAUAGAAAGACAAGGAGGAUGCAAAUGGAAAGAUGAGGAGGAUGCAGAUGGAAAGACGAGAAGGAUGCAGAUGGAAAGACGAGAAGGAUGCAGAU